CCGCAAACUCAUUCCCAUUAUCUUUUUGCUCAAAAGAAGGUGUCUAGAGAAAACAAUGAAGACUUUUAAGAUUGCCUCAGGGCAGACCGCUCAACCUGCCACACCUCUACAAAUGCCUCCAGGUGUAAGCAACACUUCCUUCUCCUUUCCCCGGAAACGGAAAGAGACUAGGAAAGGCCCAGAACCCGAGUUUAGGGAUUCGUUUUCCUCAGGUUUCUUGAUGGGCGGGGCCGGCAGGCCGAAACCGACUGGCGGGCAGAGACGUCGCUCUCGGCUGACUACGCUUUCUAUUGGCUUUCCUGGACUCCGCCCAUGGACAGGGCGGGAGAUUCGGUGUGCCCAGGCAGGACCCCCAUCCCCCAGCCGGCCUCUCGGCUUCCCUCCUCGUCUCUGCGACUCUGAGACCCUGCGACCCUGCUCCGGCUGUGCUUAACAGGCAUCUGGCUUUUCCUGCUGGGGCCGUAGCCACCUCCCCUGGAGUGCCCAGUCAGCAGGGUACCGCCGGCAGGUGCUGGGCGGCCCGAGCGGCGCCUGGCGGAGACCUAGCGGUGAGUGGUGGGACGACUGGGCAGCCCGCUUCCCUCUCCCGCUUAACUCGGGGUUUGUGAGGUGAGUCCGGUGGCGUCCAGCUCCGCAGUCUGAGCUGGGGUACUCGUCUCGAAGAGGGCUCCCCCUCGGCUCUCCGGGCUGGGUCGUUGCCCUCCCCACGCAGCCCGAAGGCCCCGAGGACCCCCGGCGCGGCCAGCUGUUGCAGGGGACUCUACCUGAAUUUUCCAGCUGCAGAAUGUGUAAUACCUUUAAAGGUUGGCAAUGAUGAGUAAACUGGAAUUAAAAGAAGACAAGAUGCUGGAGGUUCAAUUUGUGGGAGAUGAUGAUGUUCUUAAUCACAUUCUUGAUAGAGAAGGAGGAGCUAAAUUAAAAAAGGAGCGAGCUCAGCUUUUGGUCAACACAAAAAAAAUAAUAAAGAAGCCAGAAUAUGAUUUGGAAGAAGAUGACCAGGAAGUCUUAAAAGAUCAGAACUAUGUGGAAGUUUUAGGACAAGAUAUUCAAGAAUCUUUGAAAAAUGGCUCUGCUGCAGAUGGUGGGAAUAAAGUUUAUUCUUUUCAGAAUAGAAAACACUCUGAAAAGAUGGCUAAAUUAGCUUCAGAACUAGCAAAAACACCAAGAAAAAAUGUUUCAGUUAAUUUGAAGAAUGAUCCUGAAAUUAUGAUAAACAUUCCUCAAUGUAGCAAGGGACAUUCUGCUUCAGACAAAGUUCAGGUGAAGAACAACGAUAAAAGCGAAUUUCUAUCAACAGCACCUAGUGGUAUAAGGAAAAGAUUAAUAGUUCCAAGGUCUCAUUCUGACAGUGAAAGUGAAUAUUCUGCUUCCAACUCAGAAGAUGAUGAAGGAGUUGCACAAGAAUAUGAAGAGGACACUAAUGAAGUCAUAUUGAGCCAAAAGAUUCCAUCUCAGAAUAGAGUAGUUUCAGCUCCUGUUUGUAAAGGAACACCUUCUAAGAAAAUGAAAAGAGAUAAAACAAGUGAUUUAGUAGAAGAAUAUUUUGAAGCUCAUAGCAGUUCAAAAGUUUUAACCUCUGACAGAACACUACAGAAACUAAAGCGAGCUAAACUGGAUCAGCAAACUUUGCGUAACUUACUGAGCAAGGUUUCUCCUUCCUUUUCUGCUGAACUUAAACAACUAAAUCAACAGUAUGAACAAUUAUUUCAUAAAUGGAUGUUGCAGUUACGCCUGGGGUUCAACAUUGUGCUUUUUGGUUUGGGUUCUAAAAGAGAUUUACUAGAAAGGUUUCGAACCACUGUGCUGCAAGAUUCCAUUCAUGUUGUCAUCAAUGGCUUCUUUCCUGGAAUAAGUGUGAAAUCAAUCCUGAAUUCUAUAACAGAAGAAGUCCUCGAUCAUAUGGGUACUUUCCGCAGUGUACUGGAUCAGCUAGACUGGAUAGUAAACAAAUUUAAAGAAGAUUCUUCUUUAGAACUCUUCCUUCUCAUCCACAAUUUGGAUAGCCAAAUGUUGAGAGGAGACAAAAGCCAGCAAAUUAUUGGACAGUUGGCAUCUUUACGUAAUAUAUACCUUAUAGCAUCUAUUGAUCACCUCAAUGCUCCUCUCAUGUGGGAUCAUGCAAAGCAGAGUCUUUAUAACUGGCUCUGGUAUGAAACUACUACAUAUAGUCCUUAUACUGAAGAAACUUCCUAUGAGAAUUCUCUUCUGGUUAAACAAUCUGGAUCAUUACCACUGAGUUCUCUAACUCAUGUCUUACGAAGCCUUACCCCUAAUGCAAGGACUUUCUUUUCAAGAUUUUUAUCAACAGUGUCGAGAGGCAUUCCUGGUCAAUAGUGAUCUGACACUUCGGGCCCAGCUAACUGAAUUUAGGGACCACAAGCUUAUAAGAACAAAGAAGGGAACUGAUGGAGUAGAAUAUUUGUUAAUUCCUGUGGACAAUGGAACAUUGACCGAUUUCCUGGAAAAGGAAGAAGAAGAGUCUUGAAGCUGCCCUUUACUCUUCUUCUGUAGAAGGGUUGUUGGACCCCAGCUGCCACUCCUCUAAAGUGUUGUGUUUACAUCUAACAUUAGACUCUUUUUUCCAGUGUAUAAGACUUAAAAUUAGGAGGGGGAAUGUCAUCGAUUAGAACCUUGAUUAGCCUGGCUGGUGUACCAUCUCUAGUACUAUGCAGUGGUCCUCAAGUAGGAGAAAACGUGCCUUUCAUUCAUUACCUCUCUGGAGACUUCAUGCUGGAAUGAACAGUGUGCUCAGGGACUAUUUGGAGCUGGUUGUUUUUGAAUUCUUUUAUACUAGAGAUGAUAUUAUUCCUAAUUUUUUGAGGGCCUUUUAAACACCCCCCAGAGCUGAUUGUUUGCAAAUGUGUUUAUUCUAGAGUAUGGAAGUACAAAAACAUUGGCAUCACAUAAAUCUACUUUAUUUGCUCUUCUGUCAGAGCUGAUGAGUAUAAAGGAGAAGGCAGAUCAUCUCCCUGUUCUUGAAAGGCUUAACAAAAGGUGUGUAAGACUGGGGAAGAGUAGGUGAUGUCGCUUUCUCCUUUUGGAUUUAGAUUACAUGCUGGUGGGGGUAGGGAGGAAGAGGGCAUGACACUAUUUCGUUGGGACAGUGGGAAAAGCAUAAUGAGUAUAUAAGAUGUGUACCCACCUUAGAAAGCACAUGAACAAUAAUCAUGGUACUUGGAACAAUUAAUAUCUGUGCCAUCAUCCUCAUGACACAAGUGAGAAGCCAGGCUACAGAAACACAAUCCUGAAUUACAUUUUAGUCAUUGUUUUCAAGAAAACAGAAAAUAAAAAUUCAGUUAUUCUUCUAUUGACAUUUUUUCUUCAGUAACAUGCAAGUGAGUAGCAUAUAAAUGGCUGCUUUAAUCUUGAUUUCUCUAUCAAGUAGACCUAAAACUCACUGUAAGACUUUUCAGUUUUUUUCUUAAAGUAAUAAUUUCAAGCCUUCGAAAUAUUUACACAAGUCUUUUUCCUUAGGAAAGAGAAAAAGGCUAACCUUGGCCACUGGUCGGCUUGUAGUCUUCACAUACUCCCUUAAAAUUAUUUCAUACUUGGAAAAAAAUUCUUCAUUGAAAUACCACUGUAAUAAGAUAGGAGUGAAAAAUGCUGAUGCAGUACAUACUUUAACUUGUAAACCCCUUUCAUGAAAAUAUUUCCCUAAAUGCUCAGAGUUGGAAGUCAUUUAUUUGUGCCAUCUAAUUAAUUUUGUUAAAUCCACAUGAGAGUUUAGUCUUAAAUAUAAUCAAAAUAUUUAAACAAAUCUGUACAUGAAUUUGAUUCUAAAAAUUUUUGACACCGAAGGAUAUUCAAUGAAAAGUGAGUUUUCCUUCCAGUCCCUAUGCCAACCAGUGAUAGGAGUUUAUUCCUCCAGAGGUAUUCUAUGCACAUGGAAGAAUAUGUCUAUAUCUCCUUUUAAAAACACAAAUGGUAGCAUAUGAUUCGUACUGGUUUGCACCUUGUUUUGCUUAAUGUCUAGUUUAUAACUUAUAGUAUUAUAAAGUAUAUAAAAUCUUUAAUGACCUAAUAUGCAAGUUUUGCAUUUGCCCUUAAAUAUCUACUGGUUUAUUUUUAUAGUUUUUGUGUCCAUACUACUUGCAAGCAGUUAUGUGUCAAUAGUCUGUUAAUAAAUAAAAAGCCAAUUUGGAUAGAA